rnacentral:rRNA from 1 species
AUGCACGGCUGUUGCUGCUCCCUGUACCUGCUGCUACUUGCCACUUCGUCGCUGCUGCUACUCACUCCAGCGGUCCAGCCGCGCCCCUGCCGGCCCGUGUCUGCCGUGUUGCACGUCACCACCGCCGUGUGCUACCGCUGCUUGCCGCUGACGCUCGCUGCCCCGGCUGCCGCUGCUCGUCGCCUGCUGCCGACCGCGCCAACGCCACGCCACUGCCAAUGCUCUGCAUAUACUACUACUGCUAGUACUGUAGCUACACUAGCUAGCUUUUGUAUUUCUACCAUGUCUAGCCCUUUAAACAGCUCCUAA